CACACGAACUCCCCGACCGCUCCUCCUUAUCCGUCGUCGGCUCGUCGCGGCGCGGCGAUCAAAUCAAAAAACCAGACUCCCGAAGCCCGCCGCGCGCUCGCCCGCCCGGCUGCCGAGAGUGCCCACCGGUGGCCUGGCCUACCGCCGCCACUCUCGAGAUUCCUUCGCCGUCGGUUUCGAAUCCGGAAUCCCGCACGCCGCUGCUCCGACCGGCCCCGUCGUCCCUUCCAUCCGUUCAGGUGACCUACCAACCACCACGCGCAGCUCCACCCAUCCCGCGUGCGGGCUCGAGUCUGCAGCCCACCCCUCUCGAACCGCGGGAUUACCGGGCGUGCGCCACUCCUGACUUGAACGGCUGAUGUAACAACCAUGCUUCUCGAGGAACAUGGAAUAGCUCAUACUUGUGUAUGAAUCUUCGGUCUAGUUGAUUCAGUUCAGGCAAAUUUUCCUGCAGCUUCAGCAUCUGUGCGUUGACAUAAAGAGUUAUGAGCUUCAGUUUAGCUGAAAUCGCUGCUAUAUUUUUAGCUUCCUUAAAAAAAAUGAAGCUGUACCUGGAAUAGAUUGUUCAUUAGAAUAUUGAUGUCUUCCCUGUGUUCUUGAA